rnacentral:rRNA from 1 species
UACGAAGGGACUAGCGUUGUUCGGAAUCACUGGGCGUAAAGCGCACGUAGGCGGAUGUGUCAGUCAGGGUGAAAUCCCGGGCUCAACCUCGGAACUGCCUUGAUACAGCACGUCUCGAGUCGGAAGAGGUGGGUGGAAUUCCUAGUGUAGAGGUGAAAUUCGUAGAUAUUAGGAAGAACACGGUGGCGAAGGCGGCCACUGGUCCGGUACUGACGCUGAGGUGCGAACUGGGAGCAACAG